UACAGAGGGGGCAAGCGUUGUUCGGAAUUACUGGGCGUAAAGGGCGCGUAGGCGGCCUUCUAAGUCGAACGUGAAAUCCCUGGGCUCAACCCAGGAACUGCGUCCGAUACUGGAAGGCUUGAAUCCGGGAGAGGGAUGCGGAAUUCCAGGUGUAGCGGUGAAAUGCGUAGAUAUUGGGAGGAACACCGGUGGCGAAGGCGGUUCUCUGGGCCUGUACUGACGCUGAGGAGCGAAAGCGUGGGGAGCGAACAGG
rnacentral:rRNA from 1 species